CCUACGGGUGGCAGCAGUGAGGAAUAUUGGUCAAUGGGCGCGAGCCUGAACCAGCCAAGUCGCGUGAGGGAUGACGGUCCUACGGAUUGUAAACCCCUUUUGCCGGGGAGCAAGCGUGCGUGCGGGAACGCGCAUCGAGAGUACCCGGAGAAUAAGCAUCGGCUAACGCGGUGCCAGCAGCCGCGGUAAUACGGGGGAUGCUAGCGUUAUCCGGAUUUAGUGGGGUAAAAGGGGGCGUAGGUGGGAUGCCAAGUCAGCGGUAAAAAUGCGGGGCUAAACGCCGUCGAGCCGUUGAAACUGGGGUUCUUGAGUGGGCGAGAGGUAUGCGGAAUGCGUGGUGUAGCGGUGAAAUGCGUAGAUAUCCCGCAGAACUCCGAUGGCGAAGGCAGAAUGCCGG
rnacentral:rRNA from 1 species